GUAGGCUGCAACUCGCCUACAUGAAGUCGGAAUCGCUAGUAAUCGCGGAUCAGCAUGCCGCGGUGAAUACGUUCCCGGGCCUUGUACACACCGCCCGUCACACCAUGAGAGUUGGCAAUACCCAACGUACGUGAUCUAACCCGCAAGGGAGGAAGCGUCCUAAGGUAGGGUCAGCGAUUGGGGUGAAGUCGUAACAAGGUAUC
rnacentral:rRNA from 1 species